GGGGAAUCUUAGACAAUGGGGGAAACCCUGAUCUAGCCAUGCCGCGUGAGUGAUGAAGGCCUUAGGGUUGUAAAGCUCUUUCAGCUGGGAAGAUAAUGACGGUACCAGCAGAAAAAGCCCCGGCUAACUCCGUGCCAGCAGCCGCGGUAAUACGGAGGGGGCUAGCGUUGUUCGGAAUUACUGGGCGUAAAGCGCACGUAGGCGGACCGGAAAGUUGGAGGUGAAAUCCCAGGGCUCAACCUUAGAACUGCCUUCAAAACUAUCGGUCUGGAGUUCGAGAGAGGUGAGUGGAAUUCCGAGUGUAGAGGUGAAAUUCGUAGAUAUUCGGAGGAACACCAGUGGCGAAGGCGGCUCACUGGCUCGAUACUGACGCUGAGGUGCGAAAGCGUGGGGAGCAAAC
rnacentral:rRNA from 1 species